UGGGGAAUUUUGGACAAUGGGCGAAAGCCUGAUCCAGCAAUGCCGCGUGUGUGAAGAAGGCCUUCGGGUUGUAAAGCACUUUUGUCCGGAAAGAAAUCCUUGGCUCUAAUACAGUCGGGGGAUGACGGUACCGGAAGAAUAAGCACCGGCUAACUACGUGCCAGCAGCCGCGGUAAUACGUAGGGUGCAAGCGUUAAUCGGAAUUACUGGGCGUAAAGCGUGCGCAGGCGGUUUGCUAAGACCGAUGUGAAAUCCCCGGGCUCAACCUGGGAACUGCAUUGGUGACUGGCAGGCUAGAGUAUGGCAGAGGGGGGUAGAAUUCCACGUGUAGCAGUGAAAUGCGUAGAGAUGUGGAGGAAUACCGAUGGCGAAGGCAGCCCCCUGGGCCAAUACUGACGCUCAUGCACGAAAGCGUGGGGAGCAAACAGGAUUAGAUACCCUGGUAGUCCACGCCCUAAACGAUGUCAACUAGUUGUUGGGGAUUCAUUUCCUUAGUAACGUAGCUAACGCGUGAAGUUGACCGCCUGGGGAGUACGGUCGCAAGAUUAAAACUUAAUGAAUUGACGGGGUCAUAGCUGUUUCC
rnacentral:rRNA from 1 species